rnacentral:rRNA from 1 species
UACAGAGGGUGCAAGCGUUGUUCGGAUUUAUUGGGCGUAAAGGGCGCGCAGGCGGAUCUGUAAGUCAGGUGUGAAAUCUCGGGGCUUAACCCCGAAAGUGCGCCUGAAACUGCAGAUCUAGAAUCCUAGAGGGGGAAGGGGAAUUUCUCAUGUAGGGGUAAAAUCCGUAGAUAUGAGAAGGAACACCAGAGGCGAAGGCGCCUUCCUGGAUAGGUAUUGACGCUGAGGCGCGAAAGCGUGGGGAGCAAACAGG